rnacentral:rRNA from 1 species
CGGAAUUAUUGGGCGUAAAGCGUUCGUAGGCUGUUUAUUAAGUAAGAUGUUAAAGACUUGAGCCCAACUCAAGCACGGUAUCUUAAACUGGUAAACUAGAGACAAACAGAGGUGGAUGGAAUUCUGCAUGUAGGGGUAAUAUCCGUAGAUAUGCAGAGGAACACCAAAAGCGAAGGCAUUCCACUGGGUUUGUUCUGACGCUGAGGAACGAAAGCGUAGGUAGCGAACGGGAUUAGAUACCCCGGUAGUCUACGCCGUAAACUAUGAACACUAGGUGUUGAAGGAUUCGACCCCUUCAGUGCCGACGCUAACGCAUUAAGUGUUCCGCCUGGGUAGUACGAUCGCAAGAUUAAAACUCAAAGGAAUAGACGGGGACCCACACAAGCGGUGGAGCAUCUGGUUUAAUUCGACGAUAAGCGAGGAACCUUACCAAGGCUUGACAUCCCGAGAAGAUUUCCGAAAGGAGAUUGUGCCGUUAGGAACUCGGUGACAGGUGCUGCAUGGUUGUCGUCAGCUCGUGCCUUGAGGUGUUCGGUUAAGUCCGUAAACGAGCGCAACCCUUGUCAUAAGUUGCAUUUUUCUUAUGAGACUGCCGGUUUUAAAUCGGAGGAAGGUAAGGAUGACGUCAAAUCAGCAUGGCCCUUAUGUCUUGGGCGACACAGGUGCUACAAUGGCCAGUACAAAAGGCAGCCAAGGGGUAACCCGGAGCUAAUCCUUAAAACUGGUCCAAGUUCGGAUUGAGGGCUGCAACUCGCCCUCAUGAAGCUGGAAUCGCUAGUAAACGUGUAUCAGACAUGGCACGUUGAAUCAGUUCCUGGGUCUUGUACUCACCGCCCGUCAAGUCACGAAAGAUGGGGGUGCCCGAAGUUCCCUUA